UGGGGAAUAUUGCACAAUGGGCGCAAGCCUGAUGCAGCCAUGCCGCGUGUGUGAAGAAGGCCUUCGGGUUGUAAAGCACUUUCAGCGAGGAGGAAGGUGGUGAGCUUAAUACGCUCAUCAAUUGACGUUACUCGCAGAAGAAGCACCGGCUAACUCCGUGCCAGCAGCCGCGGUAAUACGGAGGGUGCAAGCGUUAAUCGGAAUUACUGGGCGUAAAGCGCACGCAGGCGGUUUGUUAAGUCAGAUGUGAAAUCCCCGGGCUCAACCUGGGAACUGCAUUUGAAACUGGCAAGCUAGAGUCUCGUAGAGGGGGGUAGAAUUCCAGGUGUAGCGGUGAAAUGCGUAGAGAUCUGGAGGAAUACCGGUGGCGAAGGCGGCCCCCUGGACGAAGACUGACGCUCAGGUGCGAAAGCGUGGGGAGCAAAACAGGAUUAGAUACCCUGGUAGUCCACGCUGUAAAACGAUGUCGAUUUUGGAGGUUGUGCCCUUGAGGCGUGGCUUCCGGAGCUAACGCGUUAAAUCGACCGCCUGGGGAGUACGGCCGCAAGGUUAAAACUCAAAGGAAUUGACGGGGUCAUAGCUGUUUCCU
rnacentral:rRNA from 1 species